UUUUUUUGACCUUUACAACUUUAAGACUCACUGAAAGCUCUGUGAGGUUUUUCCCCUCAGAGGAAAAAAAUGCUAAUGUGUACAUUUCUGCAACAUAUUUGCACAGAAUAUCAUCAGAGGCGUUCAGGAGCCACUCCAAGAAUUCCAGGGAGAAGCACACACCAUCUGCUCUGAGGAUCUUCGUUUGACAGCUUGGCCCGGGUCACGCUAGGAUUCAGAAAUGGCUGAGUGUGAAAGGGGCCUGAGGGACAGGUCUGACAAGGGCAUUGGCAGCAAGGGUCAAGAGUUUCCUUGGAAUAAUCUCAACACAAGCAGUUCCGGUCGGGGUGGUGGGGUUAUGUUGUGAAUUUUAAUACAGAUCCUUGUCAGUCACACCUUGCCCUGCAGGCAGCCUCUGGGGACUUUUGUCAGACCUAUGGAGAAGCAGUAACAGUGAUGAAAUAUUAAAACUUCACUAAAGUCUCUGAGAA
rnacentral:lncRNA from 1 species